rnacentral:misc_RNA from 1 species
GGAAAUCACGGUAGAGUAAGACCACUUGAUCUGGUUAAAUUCCAUCACCAAGAAUUUCAUUAAAAUGAGGUAUAAUCAAUCAACAAAUCAUAAAAUACAAUAUGAACACAAUGGAAAUGCAUUAAACUUCAAGAAAGGAAACAGCUUCCACAUCUUAAUUCAUAGGUCGUUUAAAUGCUGGUGACGAAGGGUUGAAUCCAAAUCAGAAGCACCAUGCCUAAUGCUAGUUCUAUUAAGCAUUUUAUGAGAAAAACAAACUUAAAAGCUUUGCAGAUCAAGUAUAGAAUUUGUAUUUAUCACAUUCAACAGG